GCGGCGCGCCUAGCACAUGCAAGUCGAACGAGAGAUGAGGAGCUUGCUCUUCAAAUCGAGUGGCGAACGGGUGAGUAACGCGUGAGGAACCUGCCUCAAAGAGGGGGACAACAGUUGGAAACGACUGCUAAUACCGCAUAAGCCCACGGCUCGGCAUCGAGCAGAGGGAAAAGGAGUGAUCCGCUUUGAGAUGGCCUCGCGUCCGAUUAGCUAGUUGGUGAGGUAAUGGCCCACCAAGGCGACGAUCGGUAGCCGGACUGAGAGGUUGAACGGCCACAUUGGGACUGAGACACGGCCCAGACUCCUACGGGAGGCAGCAGUGGGGAAUAUUGCACAAUGGGGGAAACCCUGAUGCAGCGACGCCGCGUGGAGGAAGAAGGUCUUCGGAUUGUAAACUCCUGUUGUUGAGGAAGAUAAUGACGGUACUCAACAAGGAAGUGACGGCUAACUACGUGCCAGCAGCCGCGGUAAAACGUAGGUCACAAGCGUUGUCCGGAAUUACUGGGUGUAAAGGGAGCGCAGGCGGGAGAACAAGUUGGAAGUGAAAUCCAUGGGCUCAACCCAUGAACUGCUUUCAAAACUGUUUUUCUUGAGUAGUGCAGAGGUAGGCGGAAUUCCCGGUGUAGCGGUGGAAUGCGUAGAUAUCGGGAGGAACACCAGUGGCGAAGGCGGCCUACUGGGCACCAACUGACGCUGAGGCUCGAAAGUGUGGGUAGCAAACAGGAUUAGAUACCCUGGUAGUCCACACCGUAAACGAUGAUUACUAGGUGUUGGAGGAUUGACCCCUUCAGUG
rnacentral:rRNA from 1 species